UGCAACUCGCCUACACGAAGUCGGAAUCGCUAGUAAUCGCGGAUCAGCAUGCCGCGGUGAAUACGUUCCCGGGCCUUGUACACACCGCCUGUCACACCAUGGGAGUUUGUAACGCCCAAAGUCGGUGGCCUAACCUUUAUGGAGGGAGCCGCCUAAGGCGGGACAGAUGACUGGGGUGAAGUCGUAACAAGGUAGC
rnacentral:rRNA from 1 species